rnacentral:siRNA from 1 species
UAGUGUACAAACAUCAGUAUAC